UGUGCCUGGCAUUGUCAGGCACGGUGCUGUUCCCACAGGGACAGUCCCAGUGUGCUGCUGGAGGUCAUCCUCUCUUUUCCCAAGAAACUGGGCUGGCAUCCCCUGUCUGUGCUGCCUCUUUCAGCAAGGCUCGUGCAUGUGGGAAUGUUGCUGUGUCUGGGACAAAGCAGCUCUUGGCUUUUCCCUGCAGGCAGUGUGGAUUUUGGGCCAGAUGUCACCUCUUCUGACAAGAGUAUUAAAGUGCUGCUCAAUUCCCAGGACAAAGUGUUCAGCCAGAUCCGGAAUGAGCACUUCUCCAACGUCUUUGGCUUCCUGAGCCAGAAGUCACGGAACCUGCAGGCGCAGUACGACAUAUCGGUGCCUGUGAGUCUAUCAUGAAAAAGAAAACCAAGCAGGACUUCCAGGAGACCAUCAAGGCUGAACACUCACUGCUGGAGGGCUUUGACAUCCGUGAGAGCACCAGCUUCAUCGAGGAGCACAUCGACCGCCAGGUGUCCCCCGUCGAGAGCCUGCGCCUCAUGUGCCUCCUGUCCAUCACUGAAAACGGUGAGUGCCGCGCUCUGCGGGGC